rnacentral:rRNA from 1 species
AAUAGAUACCCUGGUAGUCCACGCCCUAAACGAUGUCGACUGGUUGUUGGGGGUUUGACACUCUCAGUAACGAAGCUAACGCGUGAAGUCGACCGCCUGGGGAGUACGGCCGCAAGGUUAAAACUCAAAGGAAUUGACGGGGACCCGCACAAGCGGUGGAUUAUGUGGAUUAAUUCGAUGCAACGCGAAAAACCUUACCUACCCUUGACAUGUCCUGGAGCCCGCUGAGAGGUGGGUGUGCCCGAAAGGGAACGGGAACACAGGUGCUGCAUGGCUGUCGUCAGCUCGUGUCGUGAGAUGUUGGGUUAAGUCCCGCAACGAGCGCAACCCUUGUCAUUAGUUGCUACAUUUAGUUGAGCACUCUAAUGAGACUGCCGGUGACAAACCGGAGGAAGUGGGGAUGACGUCAAGUCCUCAUGGCCCUUAUGGGUAGGGCUUCACACGUAAUACAAUGGCGCGUACAGAGGGCUGCGAAGGGGUGACCUGGAGCCAAUCCCUGAAAAGCGCGUCGUAGUCCGGAUUGCAGUCUGCAA